rnacentral:rRNA from 1 species
AUGGCAAUUGUCCAUACAUACGGGAAGCCUGGCAUCUUCUUGACCAUGACUUGCAACCCUAAAUGGGAAGAGAUAACAAAUGAGUUGCUUCCCGGACAGACGGCGCAAGACCGACCUGAUAUUGUGGCUCGCGUGUUCUAUGGCAAACUAGAGGCCAUGAAAGAUUUGUUGCUCAAGAAGAUGGUCCUGGGUGUUGUUGUUGCUUAUGUUUACGUAGUCGAGUUCCAGAAGAGAGGCCUCCCCCACGCACAUUUUUUGUUGAUCAUGGAUUCAAAUUAUAAGCUUCUUGUCCCAGAGCAGUAUGACUGA